ACGGAAGGCAGCAGUGGGGAAUAUUGGGCAAUGGGCGCAAGCCUGACCCAGCAACGCCGCGUGAAGGAAGAAGGUUUUCGGAUCGUAAACUUCUAUCCUUGGUGAAAAUAAUGAUGGUAGCCGAGAAGGAAGCCCCGGCUAACUACGUGCCAGCAGCCGCGGUAAUACGUAGGGGGCAAGCGUUGUCCGGAAUGAUUGGGCGUAAAGGGCGCGUAGGCGGCCUCUUAAGUCUGAAGUGAAAGUCCUGCUUUUAAGGUGGGAACUGCUUUGGAUACUGGGGGGCUUGAGUGCAGGAGAGGUAAGCAGAAUUCCCAGUGUAGCGGUGAAAUGCGUAGAGAUUGGGAAGAAUACCAGUGGCGAAGGCGGCUUACUGGACUGUAACUGACGCUGAGGCGCGAAAGUGUGGGGAGCAAACAGGAUUAGAUACCCUGGUA
rnacentral:rRNA from 1 species